UACGUAGGGUUCAAGCGUUAAUCGGAAUUACUGGGCGUAAAGCGUGCGCAGGCGGUUAUGCAAGACAGAUGUGAAAUCCCCGGGCUCAACCUGGGAACUGCAUUUGUGACUGCAUGGCUAGAGUACGGUAGAGGGGGAUGGAAUUCCGCGUGUAGCAGUGAAAUGCGUAGAUAUGCGGAGGAACACCGAUGGCGAAGGCAAUCCCCUGGGCCUGCACUGACGCUCAUGCACGAAAGCGUGGGGAGCAAACAGG
rnacentral:rRNA from 1 species